UGUAGCUCAGUGGUAGAGCAUUUGCGUAUCACACAAGAGGCCCUGGGUUUGAUCCCCAGCA
rnacentral:tRNA from 1 species